CCUACGGGUGGCUGCAGUGGGGAAUAUUGCACAAUGGGCGCAAGCCUGAUGCAGCCAUGCCGCGUGUGUGAAGAAGGCCUUCGGGUUGUAAAGCACUUUCAGCGGGGGGGAAGGCGGUGAGGUUAAUAACCUCAUCGAUUGACGUUACCCGCAGAAGAAGCACCGGCUAACUCCGUGCCAGCAGCCGCGGUAAUACGGAGGGUGCAAGCGUUAAUCGGAAUUACUGGGCGUAAAGCGCACGCAGGCGGUCUGUCAAGUCGGAUGUGAAAUCCCCGGGCUCAACCUGGGAACUGCAUUCGAAACUGGCAGGCUAGAGUCUUGUAGAGGGGGGUAGAAUUCCAGGUGUAGCGGUGAAAUGCGUAGAGAUCUGGAGGAAUACCGGUGGCGAAGGCGGCCCCCUGGACAAAGACUGACGCUCAGGUGCGAAAGCGUGGGGAGCAAACAGGAUUAGAUACCCUUGUAGUC
rnacentral:rRNA from 1 species